rnacentral:rRNA from 1 species
CCUACGGGCGGCAGCAGUGGGGAAUAUUGGACAAUGGGCGAAAGCCUGAUCCAGCCAUGCCGCGUGUGUGAAGAAGGCCUUCGGGUUGUAAAGCACUUUCAGUGGGGAAGAAAGCCUUGGGGCUAAUACCCUCGAGGAAGGACAUCACCCACAGAAGAAGCACCGGCUAACUCCGUGCCAGCAGCCGCGGUAAUACGGAGGGUGCGAGCGUUAAUCGGAAUUACUGGGCGUAAAGCGCGCGUAGGCGGUCUGAUAAGCCGGUUGUGAAAGCCCCGGGCUCAACCUGGGAACGGCAUCCGGAACUGUCAGGCUAGAGUUCAGGGGAGGAAGGUAGAAUUCCCGGUGUAGCGGUGAAAUGCGUAGAGAUCGGGAGGAAUACCAGUGGCGAAGGCGGGCUUCUGGACUGUCACUGACGCUGAGGUGCGAAAGCGUGGGUAGCAAACAGGAUUAGAUACCCUGGUAGUC